GAUGGAUAUGGUUUAUUUAUAACGCUUGGCGACCGAAACCGAACCGAACUGAACCGAACCUCAUCAUCCUCUCCAUCGCAUCGCCAACCUCAUCAUCGCCAUCGGAAUUCCGACGACGUCGAGCAGCUCGCACAAUGAGUGCGGACGUGUAUCUGAGUAUCUGCAAGAUACCCAUACUCGCACUCACUCACUCACUCGCUCGCUGGCCGCGUUCGAUAAACUUACCCGACGCAAUUACAACAAAAGUGGAUGCCACAUGCCCACGCUUCAAAAGAGCAACAACAAGAGCGAUAAAUAAAAACAACGAUCAACAAGCAACAAACAAACAACAACGGCAGCAACAACGACAACAACGAGAAAAGUGCGUUGUACAUAAACGAAAUCGAAACGAAACGAAUAAUAAAUGAGAGGAAGAAGGAACGACAAUACUUUAUAUAGUUGAAUGACUGAACGAACCCGUCAACCACACCAACAACGAAAAAAUUAACACACAAAAAAUACUUAUGCGCAAUAACAACAACAACAACGUUGCCUCUUUGCCAACCAAAUUACCUUAAAAACACCAAACAAGCUGAAAAAAAAUGGAAAACACAAGCCAACAAAAAAUCUGAAAAUAAAAAUACGUUAAACGAAAUAAGAUGAAUACCAAACAAAUAAAAAAUUUAUGCGUUGCA